GGGAGUAGCUGUGGCUCAGUGGUAAAGCAUCUACUUUGCAUACAGAAGGUCCAGCGUUGAAACCCUGGUGCCUCCA
rnacentral:tRNA from 1 species